rnacentral:rRNA from 1 species
CAGCAGUAGCCGCGGUAAUACGUAGGGGGCAAGCGUUGUCCGGAAUUAUUGGGCGUAAAGCGCGCGCAGGCGGUUCUUUAAGUCUGGUGUAUAAGUGCGGGGCUCAGCCCCGUGAGGCACUGGAAACUGGGGAACUUGAGUGCAGAAGAGGAGAGCGGAAUUCCACGUGUAGCGGUGAAAUGCGUAGAGAUGUGGAGGAACACCAGUGGCGAAGGCGGCUCUCUGGACUGUAACUGACGCUGAGGCGCGAAAGCGUGGGGAGCAAACAGGAUUAGAUACCCCUGUAGUCCCUGUCUCUUAUACC